ACCACAUCAUCUCAGUUUCCAAGGCAACAGGGCACCACCCCUCUCUGUUUCCACUCUGAAAGGUGCCGCAUCAUCACCGUCCCCCCUCCCGUCCCUCCAUCCUCCCGUCCCACACCGAGCUGGUGGCUACUUUAGCGUUAGCAUCCUCUCUGCUAGCACCAUCUCUCUCUCUCUCUGCAGUGGGAUUGCCACAACAUCUAAAAGCACCUCCUCCCUCCCUCCCUGUCUCUCUGCAUCCUCCAACAUCCGACACCCAGGGAGAGAAGAAGGGAACGAGAUGGACUGAAGAGAAGAAGAAGAGAUGUGCUCAGAGCCACAUUAGACACCACACUGUGCAGAACACACAGGGAUCAUGGAGGAACCAUUGUCGGGGCCGAGAGUCACCACUGUAACAUCCGGUUCACAAGACCGCCACAUCAAUUUCAAAGAAAUAAUUUCCCUCAUUUUCAGGCUGGACCUCCUGAAAGAUGCUUUAUGUAACUUUUUCGGCAUGAGAAGAGGUUGAGACGAUCCAGUUUAAUGAUGAAGACAAGGUUCCUCACCAGAACCUUUGGCUCCACGUCCAAUGGGCUGAUCCUCUUCAUCAUGGGAUUCUGUCAACCUGAUCCACACUUUAUGGGAUUAUUCUC